GUCAUGUGGCUCAGUGGUAGAGCUUCAGUUUCACGUGCGAAAGGUCUUGGGUUCGAUCCCCGGUGUUGGCG